GACGAACCGUGCGAACGUUGUUCGGAUUCACUGGGCUUAAAGGGCGCGUAGGCGGACUCGCAAGUCUGUGGUGAAAGCCCCCAGCUCAACUGGGGAAGUGCCGUGGAUACUGUGAGUCUGGAGGAGGGUAGGGGCAUCUGGAACGCUGGGUGGAGCGGUGAAAUGCGUUGAUAUCCAGCGGAACUCCGGUGGCGAAGGCGAGGUGCUGGACCCUUUCUGACGCUGAUGCGCGAAAGCCAGGGGAGCAAAGCGGG
rnacentral:rRNA from 1 species